AACGAACGCUGGCGGCGUGCCUAACACAUGCAAGUCGAACGAUGAAGCUUGGGAAGCUUGCUUUCUGGGCGGAUUAGUGGCGCACGGGUGAGUAACACGUGGGCAACCUGCCCUCAGGAGGGGGAUAACUUCGGGAAACCGGAGCUAAUACCGCGUAAGACCACGGACUGGAAUGUCUGGGGUAAAACGAUUUAUCGCCUGAGGAUGGGCCCGCGGCCUAUCAGGUAGUUGGUGAGGUAACGGCUCACCAAGCCAGAGACGGGUAGCCGGUCUGAGAGGAUGAACGGCCACACUGGAACUGAGACACGGUCCAGACUCCUACGGGAGGCAGCAGUGGGGAAUUUUGCGCAAU
rnacentral:rRNA from 1 species